CGGAGGUAGAGAUUGAUAUUGAUGACCUGCUGGAAGUCAACAGUGAAGAUGAGAGAGCUGUCAAAUUACAGGAAUCCUUAAUAGACUGCUAUAAACCCACGGAGGUCUUUGUCAG